rnacentral:rRNA from 1 species
AUUGAACGCUGGCGGCAGGCCUAACACAUGCAAGUCGAACGAGUGGCGGACGGGUGAGUAAUGUCUGGGAAACUGCCUGAUGGAUGGGGAUAACUACUCGAAACGGUAGCUAAUACCGCAUACCAUCAGAUGUGCCCAGAUGGGAUUAUCUUGGUGGGGGGGGAACGGCUCACCAAGGCGACGAUUCCUAGCUGGUCCGAGAGGAUGACCAGCCACACUGGGACUGAGACCCGGUCCCGACUCCUACGGGAGGCAGCAGUGGGGAAUAUUGGACAAUGGGGGCAAGCCUGAUGCAGCCAUGCCGCGUGUAUGAAGAAGGCCUUCGGGUUGUGAAGUACUUUCAGCGGGGAGGCGUUACCCGCAGAAGAAGCACCGGCUAACUCCGUGCCAGCAGCCGCGGUAAUAC